rnacentral:rRNA from 1 species
AAGUGACGCGGUAGAGGAGCGUUCUGUAAGCCUGUGAAGGUGAGUUGAGAAGCUUGCUGGAGGUAUCAGAAGUGCGAAUGCUGACAUGAGUAACGACAAUGGGUGUGAAAAACACCCACGCCGAAAGACCAAGGGUUCCUGCGCAACGUUAAUCGACGCAGGGUUAGUCGGUUCCUAAGGCGAGGCUGAAAAGCGUAGUCGAUGGGAAACAGGUUAAUAUUCCUGUACUUCUGGUUACUGCGAUGGAGGGACGGAGAAGGCUAGGCCAGCUUGGCGUUGGUUGUCCAAGUUUAAGGUGGUAGGCUGAAAUCUUAGGUAAAUCCGGGGUUUCAAGGCCGAGAGCUGAUGACGAGUCGUCUUUUAGAUGACGAAGUGGUUGAUGCCAUGCUUCCAAGAAAAGCUUCUAAGCUUCAGGUAACCAGGAACCGUACCCCAAACCGACACAGGUGGUCGGGUAGAGAAUACCAAGGCGCUUGAGAGAACUCGGGUGAAGGAACUAGGCAAAAUGGCACCGUAACUUCGGGAGAAGGUGCGCCGGCUAGGGUGAAGGAUUUACUCCGUAAGCUCUGGCUGGUCGAAGAUACCAGGCCGCUGCGACUGUUUAUUAAAAACACAGCACUCUGCAAACACGAAAGUGGACGUAUAGGGUGUGACGCCUGCCCGGUGCCGGAAGGUUAAUUGAUGGGGUUAGCGCAAGCGAAGCUCUUGAUCGAAGCCCCGGUAAACGGCGGCCGUAACUAUAACGGUCCUAAGGUAGCGAAAUUCCUUGUCGGGUAAGUUCCGACCUGCACGAAUGGCGUAACGAUGGCGGCGCUGUCUCCACCCGAGACUCAGUGAAAUUGAAAUCGCUGUGAAGAUGCAGUGUAUCCGCGGCUAGACGGAAAGACCCCGUGAACCUUUACUGUAGCUUUGCACUGGACUUUGAGCCUGCUUGUGUAGGAUAGGUGGGAGGCUUUGAAGCGUGGACGCCAGUUCGCGUGGAGCCAUCCUUGAAAUACCACCCUGGCAUGCUUGAGGUUCUAACUCUGGUCCGUAAUCCGGAUCGAGGACAGUGUAUGGUGGGCAGUUUGACUGGGGCGGUCUCCUCCUAAAGAGUAACGGAGGAGUACGAAGGUGCGCUCAGACCGGUCGGAAAUCGGUCGCAGAGUAUAAAGGCAAAAGCGCGCUUGACUGCGAGACAGACACGUCGAGCAGGUACGAAAGUAGGUCUUAGUGAUCCGGUGGUUCUGUAUGGAAGGGCCAUCGCUCAACGGAUAAAAGGUACUCCGGGGAUAACAGGCUGAUACCGCCCAAGAGUUCAUAUCGACGGCGGUGUUUGGCACCUCGAUGUCGGCUCAUCACAUCCUGGGGCUGAAGCCGGUCCCAAGGGUAUGGCUGUUCGCCAUUUAAAGUGGUACGCGAGCUGGGUUUAGAACGUCGUGAGACAGUUCGGUCCCUAUCUGCCGUGGACGUUUGAGAUUUGAGAGGGGCUGCUCCUAGUACGAGAGGACCGGAGUGGACGAACCUCUGGUGUUCCGGUUGUCACGCCAGUGGCAUUGCCGGGUAGCUAUGUUCGGAAAAGAUAACCGCUGAAAGCAUCUAAGCGGGAAACUUGCCUCAAGAUGAGAUCUCACUGGGAACUUGAUUCCCCUGAAGGGCCGUCGAAGACUACGACGUUGAUAGGCUGGGUGUGUAAGCGUUGUGAGGCGUUGAGCUAACCAGUACUAAUUGCCCGUGAGGCUUGACCAUAUAACACCCAAACA